rnacentral:lncRNA from 1 species
CAUGGGUUUUAGAAUUGUUUUUGAAUGGAUGCCUACUUUAAUGUGUUAAUAGUUUGCAUAUGUGUUCAAAUAUUCUCACAUGUUCUUAGCUAGGACAAAAUUUUUCCUUCAAGUGGUAUCAAGAGCCUAGGUCUAGUUUAUGGUGAAUCCUUUUGGGUUUUGUGUUUUUCAUGUUUUAUGAUUUAAAUGUUGUAAAUGUUACAAGCUUUGUUCUUGCUUUUGAAUAUAAAUUUUGCUUGAAAUUUGGUGCCAUGUAUGUUGGGAAAUUCGUCCAAAUCCAAAGGGUUGAUUUUUGGGUUCAUGUUUGUCUUGUUAAAUGAGUUUUAAAGUGACUUUUGGAACCCCUAAGUACCCUAGGAUGUUAACCCUCUUUUGUGUAGUGAAAAUUUGAGUUUUAUUGUGUGAAAACAUUCAUGGAGCUCUUAUUAGUUUUCAUGUGUGUUCUUCAAUAUUCUUGAUGUUCUUACCAAGAACAAAAAGGUUUGGAGUUUUGAUUCAAAAUGUUUGGUGUUUUUCAUAAAGUUUUGGUUUAUAAUUAAUUGGUGAUGGAUGAUUGGUGAUGGAUGAUUUAUGUCUUUAUUGUUUGACAAAACAUUUUCUUACAACCUAUACCAAUCAACUUUUCCUCACCUACCUAUCCACUUGCACAAAACACUUUCAAAUUUUGAAUUUUUCACCAAAACCUUUCCCCCCUGCUUUUUCACUACCAAAACCGGCCACCCCUUAAUGGGGGUACUUUUAGGGUCUUUUAUGCAAUUACAUAAAGUUUUGAUACUUUUGUGUAUUUGUACUUUGGCCCAAAAAUUUACGUUUUUCGUUAAGGCCCAAAAACGCUAAAGGACAAAUUGUUUUGCUCUUUUAAUGAAGUUUUUGCUAUUGUUGAAAUUUUUGGGUUAUAGUUGUAAUUACAUGAAGUUGUGGACUCUUGUGUUUUUACAAAGUGACCCCAAAAGUUUAUGUUUUAACCUUAUGGCCCAAUUGUUGUGGUCAUUGUUUUUCGGCCCAAAAGAUGAUGAGAACAAAAUGGUUGUCUCUUUAAUGAGAAUUGGAUUUUCAUUUCAUUUAGUUCCAUUUAAAUCAAUUCUAUGAAUCCGAAAACCAAUUGUUUAAGUUGCUUUCUUAGUUAAUUUGAUUGAUUAAGAAAAUGGUGAUUAUGAACCAAAGGCCUCGAUAAUUGAGCUAUGUGAUUGGCCGCUUUACAUUGUGAAUGUUUGGGUUAAGUAGUUUAGAUUUAAAUGUAAUUUGAUUAGUUCAAAUUUGUUGUAAAAGGACAUAAGUCCUUCUAAUUUGUUGUAAAAGGGCAUAAGCCCUUCUCUUUAUUUCAUGUAUUCCUUUUUGUUUAUAUGUAUGCAAAUUGGAAUAGUUGGGUCCAACGCCCAAUAGGAAAUAACGGUUUAAUUAGAUUAAACGUGUAACUAAUAUCAACAACUAUCUACCUUAAACCCAAGGUCCAACACACAAGGCUCGUGUUGGAUCAAAUCAAAUGGUUCAUAAUCAUCCUAAGACCUAAUAUAACUACAUAGUCCAUAUGAGGAUGCAAUGCAUUCGUUAGUAUUUCCAUAUAAUCUCGCUUGUUUCAUCGAAAUAGUAGGAGUAUUAUAUACUACUAAUUCAUAGUAACUUGGACCAAUGGUUGUGAUAGGCACAAGUUCUUUUAAUAAGAUUAAAAUAAAAUUGAUGUAGCCCAACACAACUUCCUCAACAAAACGAAUAUUAAGUUGAUAAGCGAGAGAUGCUUUGAACAUCUCUUCGUAGGCUUUCCACCAUGGUGGGCUCCAAUCGUUUGUGACUCCUACACCGGCUUCACCCUAUCAUGGGGAAGUUCAAUGUAUGUGCUUACAUUCAGGAGGAGUUCAUAUGUACAUACAUGAUGUGGUGAGGUAGGCAACGAGGAUGGCCGACAUCAUAUCAUUGUGAGACUAUUCUUGAACCCCUACACGAACUAGCAUGGUGGGAAUAACUUAACUAAGUGCAAUAGUGCCAACAUCAUAUCAUUGUGAGACAUCAUUCUCUAGAGGCCAAACUAGAUGGGUAAUUACAAGAGUUGUAAAUGACUAAAGCGUUAUUCUCUCAUCAUUAUUUUUGCUAACCAACAUCGUAUCGUCGUGAGGUAGGCUUGGUAAUGGUGAGCCUCCCAUACCCCGCUAAGAGUUCAACAUAACUCUCGAAUUCCAUUGAGGGAUGUGGAAUUUUCCAAAAAUAGUGGGUGGUACUAUUUGAUUUAAGACCCAAUCAAGUAGUUUUAAAAUCAACAAUCUAAUACGAUUUCUGUUAUGUUAUGUAGUUAAGAACAUGCCUAAAAUUACACCCACCAUUAUACUUGACAAAAAGGGCCUUAGAGGCCAACGUUUCCUUGCUUGGUAUCGCCACAUUGAGAAUGUCUCAAAGGUGAAAGACAUAUUGUAUGUGCUUAAGCAAUCCCCUCCUCAUGUACCUCCUACGAAACUAGCUUCAAAGGAGGAGUGUCAAAAUUAUGCAAGACACUAUGAGGAUGACUUACAAGCCAAAUGCUUAAUCCUCACUAAACUUCACUUAGUGAGGAGCUUAAAAAGCUACAUGAGCACAUGGACACUUCUUGUGCCAUGGUUGAUAGUUUGCAUAAGAUGCAUGACAUUGAGACUAGUAACGUACGAUUCUCAAAUGUUUGUAAUCUAUUGAAUGCCAAAAUGGCAAAGGGGGCAUCGGUCCAAAGACAUGGACAAAAGAUGGAAAGGAUCUUUCAAGAUCUUGAAAGUUUAGGAACUUCCAUCGAUGGGAAAAUGGCCCAAGACUUUUUCCUUGCAUCUCUCUCGGAUGAUUUCACUAAGUUUAUUGUAAAUUAUAAAGUGAAUAGAUUCAAUCAUACUUUUACCGAGAUGAUUGACAUGUGCUGUAAGUUUGAACAAGGUUUCAAAAAGGACAGUGGGAGUGAGACUGCAAUCACAAGGAAAAGGUUACAUAAGAAGAAGGCAAUAAAAUCCAAAGGAACAUGCUUUCAUUGUGGAAAGAAUGAACGUUGGAAGAAGAAAUACAAGGUGCGCAUUGCGAGCCUUAUGACACGAACUUUUGAAAGGACUAUUUCUGUCAUAGAGAGUGUUUUUACAAUGAGCUUCAAUUCCUGGAUAUUUGAUUCAGGCGCUAGUCAACAUAUCUGCAAUUCGUUGCAGGGACUAAUAGGGAGCAGAACAUUGCGCAAUGGGGAGAUGAUUGUGCGAGUUGGGAAUGACACUAAGAUCUCUGCUAAAGCAAUAGGCACCUACAUGCUUAAACUGCCCUCUGGGGAAGUCUUGGAACUUAAAAAUUGUUUAUAUUUUCCUUCAUGUAUAAAGAAUUUGAUUUCUAUCUCUAAGCUUUUACGAGAUGGGCACUCAAUAUUGUUUGACAAAAUGAGUUGCACUUUAUACUUGAAUGGUCGUAUUAUCUCUCAUGGUAAUAUGAUAGAAGGACUUUUUCACCUAGAGACAAGUAGUGGGAUGCACUGUAUUGAAAGCGGGAAUACCUCAAAACCCAAAAAGGGCUAGAGAAGAAGUUAACCGAGAAAAGAUAUGGCAUCUUAAACUUGGACAUGUGAACCUUGAUAAGAUUCGCAAGAUGUCGAAAGACGGAUAUUUCCGCCCAUUGGGUAAUGACCAAAUGGGUACUUGUGAAUGUUGCUUAAAAGGGAGGAUGACCAAAUAUCCAUUCACUGGGAAAGGAGAGCGUGCCAGUGAAAUUCUAGGGUUAAUCCACACUGAUGUAUGUGGACCUAUGUCUACUACGUCGAGUGGAGGCUUCUCCUACUAUAUCACAUUCACCGACGAUCACUCUCGGUUUGGCUAUAUGUAUCUUAUGAAGUACAAGUCAGAAUCCUUUGAAAGGUUCAAAGAAUUCAAGAAUGAAGUUGAGAAGCAAACUGGGAAACAGAUAAAGAUCUUAAGAUCAGAUCAAGGGGGAGAGUAUCUAAGUACCGAGUUCCUAGAUUAUCUCAAAGAGUGUGGAAUAAUAUCACAGUGGACUCCAUCGGGAACUCCACAACUUAAUGGAGUUUCUGAAAGGAGAAAUCGAACCUUGAUGAACAUGGUUCGUUCUAUGAUGAGUUUCGCAGAUCUACCAGUAACAUUAUGGGGAUACGCUCUAUAUACAGCAGCUUACUUGCUUAAUAGAGUACCUUCUAAGUCAGUUUCACAGACGCCCUAUGAGAUAUGGCAUGGAAGAAAGCCAAGUCUUAAUCACAUUAAGAUUUGGGGUUGUGAAGCAUAUGUCAAGAAGCUUGAAGCGAUCAGUUAGGUGUUAUUUUGUGGGAUAUCCUAGAGAAACUAUGGGAUAUGAGUUUUACCAUCUUGACGACCAAAAGGUUUUUUGUUGCCAGAACUGCCAAGUUUUUAGAGGACGAAUUUGUUCUCAAAUGAACUAUAAGUAAAACGAUGGAAAUUAAUGAGAUUAAUGAUGAACCACAAACAAGCACUCGACAAGUUGACAACCCUAUUCCUGAAUCCCUAGCUCCAUGUAGAUCUGAAAGGGUUAGCAAGCCACCUAAGAGGUAUGGCUUAGAUAAUGACUUUGGGGAAUUGCACCUUCUAGGUGACAAUGACACAAAGGAAGACCCUAGAGACUACAAUGAAGCAAUGUCCGACAUUGAUUCAAAGAGAUGGCAAUAGGCCAUGAAAUCCGAGAUGGAUUCCAUGUAUCAAAAUCAGGUCUGGACUCUUAUAGACCCUCCAGAAGGCAUAGUACCUGUUGGAAACAAAUGGGUCUUCAAGAGGAAGAUAGGCGCUGAAGGGAACGUGGAGACUUAUAAGGCUAGACUCGUAGCCAAGGGUUACAGGCAAAGAGAAGGGAUUGACUAUGAAGAAACCUUCUCUCCUGUAACCAUGAUUAAGUCCAUUCAGAUUUUGUUUGCUAUAGCUGCGUACCAUGAUUAUGAGAUAUGGCAAAUGGACGUGAAGACGACCUUUCUGAACGGCUACCUAGAGGAAGAGCUCUAUAUGACUCAACCCGAAGGUUUCAUGUCCAAGUCUGAAAGGACUAAGGUAUGCAAGCUUCAAAGGUCUAUUUAUGGACUUAAGCAAGCCUCCAGGAGCUGGAACAUUCGUUUUGAUACUGAAAUCAAAACGUUUGGUUUUACUCAAAACAAAGACGACAAUUGUGUUUAUCAAAAGGUCGUUGGGGAUGCAGUUGUAUUCCUAGUGUUAUAUGUAGAUAACAUAUUACUAUUCGGGAAUGACACUGUAGUACUUUCUUCUGUAAAAGUGUGGUUGUCCAAAACUUUCCACAUGAAAGAUUUGGGAGAUGCAUCUUAUGUACUUGGGAUAAAGCUCUAUCGUGAUAGAUCCAGAAAAUUAAUUGGAUUAUCCCAAUCUAUGUACAUAGAUAAGGUGUUAAGUAGGUUCCAGAUGGAACUAUCUAAGAAAGGUCUUUUUCCUGUGAGACAUGGAAUUCACCUUUCUAAGUCCACGGGCCUAAGACUCCUGAAGAGAUACGGCAGAUGAGUGCUAUUCCUUAUGCUUCCGCCAUAGGAAGUCUCAUGUAUGCCAUGAUAUGCACAAGGCCUGAUAUCGCAUAUGUUGUGAGCAUUACUAGUCGAUAUCAAUCUAACCCAGGAUCAGAACACUGGGCAGCUGUCAAGAUGGUCCUUAAGUACUUAAGAAGAACUAAGGACAUGUUCCUCGUUUAUGGAAGAGCAACAGAGUUACGAGUGGAAGCCUAUACAGACGCAGAUUUCCAAUCCGACGUCGAUGAUAGAAGUUCCAACUCCGGAUAUGUAUUCACUUUGAAUGGUGAUGCUGUUAGCUGGAAAAGCAAGAAACAAGAUGUAAUUGUUGAUUUCACGAUGGAGGUAGAAUAUGUUGAUGCAGCUGAAGCCGGCAAAGAAACGUUCUGGAUGAAGAAGUUCAUUACUGAACUUGGAGUGGUUCCAACCAUUACAUCACCAGUAAGUUUGUACUAUGAUAAUAGUGGGGCGAUAGCUCAAGCCAAGGAACCCAGGGCUCAUCAAAAGAACAAGCAUUUUGACAAGCGCUUUAAUAUGAUUAGAAGAUAUGCUGCCGAGGGGAAAGUCAACAUCCUCAAGGUUGCCUCAGCCAAUAAAGUAGCAGAUCCACUGACAAAGCCAAUGUCUCAAAUCCAACUUGACCGCCAUAUGGAAAAGAUGGGUAUUAGAUACAUGGGAAAGUGGCUUUGAGUGCAAGUGGGAGAUUGUUGGAAGUAUGCCCAUAAAGCCACUCAUUUGAUGCAAUAGCUUUUGGAAUACUUAUUGUAUUAAACUAUUAUAUGUUUAAUGAAGGGCAAAGCUUAUUGUUAAUCACUAUUUAUUGUAUCAUGUGUUUAAGCAAUAAGGGAAUCCAAGGAAUGUAUUUGAUCUAAGAGAGAAGUGAUUUAAAUAAGUUAGAUUAAUGAGACCUUUCUCUUAUAUUCAUUCCUAAAACGUUCCUAGCCAUAAGAUUGCCAAUUGGGCAUUGACAAUCCGCUAAGGUUAGUAUGUGUUAUGUCAACUUAAGCGUGAGUAUGACUAGUCUCAAGUCAUUUAGUGUUGGACACUAAGACAAACACAUAAGUGCUUAAAAGAGUAAUCGAGUACACUGAACAACGAUCACAGAAGAGUUCGAACAUACAUGUCAUGUAAGAACUCGUAAGUUGCAAUAUGCAAAGUAGUCAUUUGACCUGAGGCAUCAUAGAUGUCUAAUGGCUAGGUCUUUGAUCUUUGAUCAUGUCAAAGGCAUUCCAUCGAGAGUGUCCAUGGCAUUGUUGGGGUCAAGCUAUCUAGUCAUGUAGGCAUAUGAAUGCACAACAAGGAAUCUCUAACCUUCCAUGGUGGAAGGAGAAUACUCUAAGAUAUGAUUCGGAAGUCUUUGGCCAAAGCAUACGAAUAUGACUUAGGAAGUAUGUUCCAAAUCAUAUUCAAUUGAAUCAUAUAGAGAAGUAUCACAUUGGAUAGUAGACAUGAUACAAACUAUCACUCAAAUUGUAUUAGAGAAGGACCAUAUUGCAUUGUAAUUGUAACUGGAUAGGUUCUCCAACCAUUUCUAUUUAGCUUGGGUAGCCAUGACAUGCUGCUAGGUGUCACUCAUGGUUUGUGGAAGCCCUGAAGAUUAGCAAACACUAAUCUUAAUCAAAGGGAGAAUUGAAAUGUAGUUUCAAUUCACAAUCGAUCGUUAAGAGUAACAAUCGCCCACUGCCUCGCUAAUUGGAACCUAAUGGAUCGUACACCGAAUAAGGAUGAAAGUGAAGAAAUAUAAAUGAAAUGGAUAAGCAAUUAAAUGGUUUAAUUGAAAUAUGGUCAAGGUUAAUUAAUUAGUUAAUUAAUUAUACGAAAGGUUCGUAUUGGGCUUUUAAGUUUGUUUUGGGCUUCGGGGUCCAAAAGGGUUUGGUCCACUAGGCCCAUUAUGUUUAAGUUGUAUGACAACUAAAACAAAUAUGGGCAAAUAGCCCAAUCACUUAAAAGAGGCCGGCCAUAGUGAGGGAGUGGUAAGUUUUGCUUAAUUGCAAGUUUGCCACUCACCUAAGAAAAGAGAUAUAAAAGCAUCUUUAUAGCUUUUACCUCAUUAGGGUUUUCUAGAGGCAAAGAUGAGAAACAUUUUCUCUUUUUCUCUGAAGGAGGCCGGCCAUUUAGAGAAGAUAUAGCUAGCAAUCUUUUCUUCUCUAAGUCAUCCAUUUCAUCUUCACACCUCAUCCUUGGUGUGGAGACUCAGAGACACCAAAUCUUUGGUGUUUUUGGAGAUCCUUUCCUCACAUCCUCAAGGAGCAAAGGAGCAUCAAAAAGGAAGAAAAUCACAAGGAAGAUCCAAGGAGCUAGGAGGUGACUUGAAGGCCCUCCACUUGGGUGAAUCCCUUGUGUAAACAAGGAUGAGCUUCAAAGGUAAUGAAUCUCUAAAACCUUCUUUCUCUUUAAUGUUGUUAAAGAGUCUUGUGGUUCACCAUUCACUAGGCUUUGAAAGUCAUGGGUUUUAGAAUUGUUUUUUAAUGCAUGCCUACUUUAAUGUGUUAAUAGUUUGCAUAUAUGUUCAAAUAUUCUCACAUGUUCUUAGCUAGAACAAAAUUUUUCCUUCAAGUGGUAUCAAGAGCCUAGGUCUAGUUUAUGGUGAAUCUUUUUGGGUUUUGUGUUUUUCAUGGUUUGUGAUUUAAAUGUUGUAAAUGUUACAAGCUUUGUUCUUGCUACUGG